rnacentral:other from 1 species
AUUUCUCUGAGAUGUUCGCAAGCGGGCCAGUCCCCUGAGCCGAUAUUUCAUACCACAAGAAUGUGGCGCUCCGCGGUUGGUGAGCAUGCUCGGUCCGUACGAGAAGCCUUAAAACUGCGACGACACAUUCACCUUGAACCAAGGGUUCAAGGGUUACAGCCUGCGGCGGCAUCUCGGAGAUUCC